UGCUCUUGCCUGCGAGACUGCUGUCGGAGCUUUGCUUCCUAAACAGACCCCACGCCGAGCGUUUAAAGCACGGCUAUUUUCACAGCAGCCACCAGAAGAGAACUUUGCUCCUUCCUCUGUUUGCAGAGGCUCUGAGAAAUGGUCAAGGACUUGGCCCCGAAGCCACAGAUGGACUUAGCAGUGGAUCCCAAGAGCCUUCAACAGCUGAGGCAGAAGAGGCCUGAGGGAGGGGGAGUGUAGCUGGUAGGAAUCUCGUGUUCCAUAAUCGGGCCGCCAGGGCUCUGCAAGGCCCCGAAAUUGUAAGUCAAAGCGCGUGAGAGUAGGUGUCCAUCGUGUGUAUAUUUUCUGCCGGGAGCCACAGCUUACAUCCCAUUCUCAAAGAAUAUGCAGACCCAGAAAGAGGAAGAGCCACAGAACCUAAUCUAAUUCCUUCAUUAUAUGGCUGAUAUGGAAAUUGAGGUUUGGUUCCUUGGACCAAACGGACUGACUCUAUUUGAUAGAUGACUGAUAACUUCAUCAAGAGCUUUUCCCCUAAACCUUGGUUUUGUUUCUGUGAGUUCAUUUCUCUAAUGUUACAACAUAUUCUGAGAGAAAGGAAGACUCUUUGGAAAGUUACAUUGACUUUUAAAGCCACAAGGGGAUCAUUUGGGACAUUCCUACCUCGGCGGUUAUUACCCCGCAGCGCUACCUCUAGCCUUCUCUUUGGUCUCCACGGGGACCCGUUACGUCUCUAACAAGCAAGUAUGAAGACUUAUAGUGCUGGCUUACCAGAAGGGUUUGCUUCGGGAAUUUCACAAGACAGGACUGCUGCUGUCUUGCACGGAAAUUUACAUCCCAUGAAGCAGAAGAGAGAAUGACGAUGGCACAUGAUGGGUCUGUGGAUGGGGCUUCCGGGGUCUGUGGACCCCUGACAUGAGCUGCAAAGACAAGUGGACUCCCUUCUGGCCUGAGGGACUCUGGACCUCUGUGACUUCCAUGAGGGGUAAAGUUCAAUGUUAACCUCACCAACGAGAAGUCAGUUUCAGAAGCUGGCCAUGCCCUGGUUUCUUCCAAGGAGACAAAACAGUGUUUCUCAGAGGGGCCUGUGAGAAGGCACCUCAGAAAUGUAGUGAUUUAUAAGCAGGAUGUUAUUUCCUAUACAGUAGGAAAGCUGGAGGAUCCCUUUAUUUAUUUUUUUUAAAUCUUAAAAAAAAUUUUUUUUAAUGUUUAUUUAUUUUUGA